CCAGAAUCCGUACUGGGUGUGGAGUCAAGUAUUUGGGGCCAAGUGUGUUAAAACACCCUUAGUUAUCUGCAAUGCAAUAAUUCAUUUCGCAUUUGUGUCCUACUUUACAGGGUCUCCUGCUUUUGAGGACCUGACAUAGUCUAUCAGUAACGCAGGCACCUUCUGGUGUGAGACUUUCCAGGAAGAGAAAGAAGCAUCUGCUCAGUUUCACCAUCUCUAAGUGAGGAGAUCAGACACCCCCGAUUUUCCUGUCUGCUCUUACAUCCGCUUUAAGAUGGAUAACUACAAUCUCACCGAACUCGUCUUUAAUUGAGCCUGCAGUGUCUCCUGGUCUCCAUCAAACAUGCUGCAUUCACC
ensembl:lncRNA